rnacentral:rRNA from 1 species
UACGAAGGGGGCUAGCGUUGCUCGGAAUCACUGGGCGUAAAGGGUGCGUAGGCGGGUCUUUAAGUCGGGGGUGAAAUCCUGGAGCUCAACUCCAGAACUGCCUUCGAUACUGGAAAGCUCGAGUCCGGGAGAGGUGAGUGGAACUGCGAGUGUAGAGGUGAAAUUCGUAGAUAUUCGCAAGAACACCAGUGGCGAAGGCGGCUCACUGGCCCGGUACUGACGCUGAGGUGCGAAAGCGUGGGGAGCAAACAGG